AACCUCGUAGGUGUAAUGGUAGCACGCGUCCCCGGUAUGGAUGAAACGCGGGUUUGACUCCCGUCCGAGGUCG